GGAGGCGGGGGCGGGGCGGCGCGGCCGGCCGAGGGGCGGCCAGGGACGUGACAUCAUCGGGGGAGGAGCGGCCGGGCCCGGGCCGCCGCGGCGGGGCGGACCCUGGCGAGUCGGGAGCCGGCGCUGGGGUCUGCGGCCUGGCCGAGGCCGCGGGAAGGGACUGGAGGGACCAGCGUGGACCCGGGAGGCCCAGGCAAGGAGCACACGGGCCUGCGCGGCGGGGGAGCCCGGCCGAAGCCGGAGGAGCGAGCGGCCCCGCGUUCAGAAUCCGCCGCCGCCUCCAGGAACUGGGGAACACAGAGUGAUCUGCCACUGGGGAGGCUUUAUAGGCUCCUGCUCAGUUUCACUCACCAGAAACUGAAUUGACUAGUGCCUUGAUCCUGAACUUCCUAGCCUCCAGCACGGGUUGAUGUGCCACUGCCUCCUUCCUCAUGAGUCUCCAGCAUCAGUCCAGAGAGAACCCAAGCCCAGGACCAUUUUGCCCCCACUUCACAUUGCAUCCCUUGGUGACUUCACCUUUGCCUGCAUUCAUCCACAGAACAGGCUCUGAUCCCAGAAGCGAUGUCCAGAGCUGCUGCAACCAUAUGGAAGGGAGGUGUUGAAGAUGGUGGAGAAGUAAGAUGUGGAGAUCCUCUUCCUCCCCAGUAAAUACAUGAAAAAUGCAGCUGCAUGUGGAACACCUACUGAAUGCUGCCAGAAGGCUUCAGACUUCCAAAAAGGCAAGCUAAUCUCUAUAGCUAAUCUUGAAUAAAGUGGUAGGGAAACAGCAAUAAGAAAAAAAAGUAGACACAAGGAAAAUGGGAGGAAUCCUGCACCUCAGGGAGAGAGUUGUGAAGGAGGCAAAGUUCCUCUGACCCCCCUUCACAGGAGCUUUGGAACCUUAGAGGGGAAUGCAACAGGUGCUCCGAAGGCAAAUGGGAGAGAAUUCAGCACAGAGAUUGUUGCUGACCAGCACUUCCCAGCUGAGAAGCAGUUUGCAUGCCCACUGCAGUGAGUGGGGGCUGGGUGCUGAGGCUCAGGCUUCAGGAAUCGGACCCUAGGAUGAAGACUGGAGUUGCCUGCCAUGAAGUUACUCUGAGGGGACUAGUACAACAUGCAGAAAGAGCCCAGGGAAAAACCUGGGCCUGCCAGAGAGGCAAGAGAUCAUCACCACUGGCACCAUCUAACUCCAAGUGCUCACAGAUCGCAGGACCAUGCCUUUGUGAGUGUCAUAAGGUGGGAUGAGCUGGCUGUGGUCUGUGACCCCAGAGGUGGGCAUGCCUACUGCUAUCAAGGAUGGCACGAGUGUCAAAAGAGGUGGGGGGUGGCACGAGGAUUUGGCCAUCACAGGCUGUGAUGGCUGUCACAGUGGCUGCCAAGCUGUGAGCGGGCGCAGGUCACUGUCCACAACUUCCUGGAAGACUAUGUAGCUUGGUUCUUCCAAGAGACCCAGGGUCAGUUCGUCUGGGAGAGCACACGACACACCUCUGACUCUAGCAACUUCCAGCAGGUCUCUAUUGCCACGGGCACUCCCUCAUUGUGUCUGCCCUACCCCUCACACUCCCUAGUCCGACUGAGUAAGUGAGCCCUAAUAAGCCUUGGCCUUAUUAGGCCCCACGCAGAGGUGGGGCCAAAACCAAAGUGGAACACCAGGGGAUGUGUGAUCAAAGAAGAGGAAGGGAAUUCACUGCUGCAGCAGCAGAUGCAGGAGAUUAAAUCCCGGCAACUGGUUUAAGACUGUGAGCUUUGGGGGCAACUGUGGACUUUGGAAGCAAGUACAAGUUGGAGUAAGGCCAGAUCUCAGUUGGAGCUGAUCCUACAUCACCAACAACAGGUCCAGAGACCUUCUGAGAACCUUUCAGUCUGUGGAAAGGAGACCCCAAACCCAGUAAAUUAAACAAAAUGAGGAGACAGAGAAACACGCAGCAGAUGAAGGAGCAUGGUAAAAACCACCAGACCAAAAAAAGAAAGAGGAAGUAGGCCAUCUACUUGAAAAUGAAUUCAGAGUAAUGGUAGUAAAAAUGAUCCAAAACCUUGGAGAUAAAAUGGAGGCACAGAUAAAUAGAAUGGAGGAAAGGAUUGAGAAGAUACAAGAAAUAAUUUAUAAGGACCUAGAAGAACUAAAGAACAAGCAAUCAACAAUGAACAACAUAAUAAGUAAAAUUUAAAAUACACUAGAAGGAACCAAUAGCAGAAUAACUGGGUGAGCUGGAAAAUAGAGUGGUGGAAAUAACAGAAGCAGAACAGAAUAAAGAAAAAAGAAUGAAAAGUAAUGAGGACAG